rnacentral:rRNA from 1 species
AGCGAACGCUGGCGGCAGGCUUAACACAUGCAAGUCGAGCGGGCAUCCCUGUGGUGUCAGCGGCAGACGGGUGAGUAACGCGUGGGAACGUGCCCUUCGGUUCGGAAUAACUCAGGGAAACUUGAGCUAAUACCGGAUACGCCCUUUUGGGGAAAGGUUUACUGCCGAAGGAUCGGCCCGCGUCUGAUUAGCUAGUUGGUGAGGUUAUGGCUCACCAAGGCGACGAUCAGUAGCUGGUCUGAGAGGAUGAUCAGCCACACUGGGACUGAGACACGGCCCAGACUCCUACGGGAGGCAGCAGUGGGGAAUAUUGGACAAUGGGGGCAACCCUGAUCCAGCCAUGCCGCGUGAGUGAUGACGGCCUUAGGGUUGUAAAGCUCUUUUCUCCGGGACGAUAAUGACGGUACCGGAGGAAUAAGCCCCGGCUAACUUCGUG